UACAGAGGUGGCAAGCGUUGUUCGGAAUUACUGGGCGUAAAGGGCGCGUAGGCGGUCUUGCAAGUCCCGUGUGAAAUCCCUCGGCUCAACUGAGGAAUGGCACGGGAAACUGCUUGGCUUGAGUUCGGGAGAGGGAAGCGGAAUUCCGGGUGUAGCGGUGAAAUGACGUAGAUAUCGGGAGGAACACCAGUGGCGAAGGCGACUACCUGGCCUGUUCUUGACGCUGAGGCGCGAAAGCUGGGGGAGCAAACGGGG
rnacentral:rRNA from 1 species